AGCAGAGCUGAGCAGGAGCGGCUGAAGCUUCGGCUCUGCUAGACGGGCAUCGGCUCCUCUCGUUCGCUUCAAAGCCGCGGCUCUUAGAGCCGGCUCGUUCGCGAACGACACAUCAGUAAUAGCCAGUGAUACCAAAAAUGGGAGAAGUCUUUGGUGUUUCGUGCUUGGAGUUGCCUGUCCGCUGUUCGGAUACCGGUGGAUUCCUGCUGUCUCCUGGAUCGUCUCUUGUUCUGGGCUAUGGUCUGCCUGGUGUCUUCCUGCACAUGAGGACUGUCCGAGGAUUUGUUGUCACCCUGUGAAGAAAGGAGCGCUCCUGAUCCUAUUCACUGUCUUCAUCUCAUCAGGAAAUACCGUUGGUUUGCCGCCUCUCUUCGGUGCCCAGCGCUGAGGAGACUCCCUUUCUCCUCGGCCUGACUGAUGACUAUUCCAGGUUUCCUUACGCGUGGCUAGGAGGCCUUGUAGAUGGGCAAAUGGCGUUGGAUGGAUGGAUCUGAAUGUGACUUCCAAGAUUGGGGCGCUUUAUCAACCAAGCCAGCGUUUUUGGGAGUUCAGCUACCAGGAUAAGAAGACCCCCGGACAGUGGACCUGCUUCUACUACAGAUUUAAACUUCCUUUUGUGUGUAGAAGGGCCCGAGUGGAGUUGUGCUGGCUGAGGGUCUCACAGACGGCGAUGAAGAUGAUGACGAUGACGAGUGCUGGAUCUCACGAUUCACUCCAUCAGUUAAUAUUCUUUUGUGUUUCUUCAUCGUGUUUUUCAAGUCACUCACACAAUAAAUAAACCUUUGUUUGGAUUUCUUUGAUAUUAAAAUGUUUGAACUGUAAGUAAACAAUAAAGAGCAAUGAGCUUGACAUCAGCCUCCUGUCACUUGACUGUCCCCCUUCAGCCGUCUG